ACAGAUGGGAGCUUGCUCCCUGAUGUUAGCGGCGGACGGGUGAGUAACACGUGGGUAACCUGCCUGUAAGACUGGGAUAACUCCGGGAAACCGGGGCUAAUACCGGAUGGUUGUCUGGACCGCAUGGUUCAGACAUAAAAGGUGGCUUCGGCUACCACUUACAGAUGGACCCGCGGCGCAUUAGCUAGUUGGUGAGGUAACGGCUCACCAAGGCGACGAUGCGUAGCCGACCUGAGAGGGUGAUCGGCCACACUGGGACUGAGACACGGCCCAGACUCCUACGGGAGGCAAGCAGUAGGGAAUCUUCCGCAAUGGACGAAAGUCUGACGGAGCAACGCCGCGUGAGUGAUGAAGGUUUUUCGGAUCGUAAAGCUCUGUUGUUAGGGAAGAACAAGUGCCGUUCAAAUAGGGCGGCACCUUGACGGUACCUAACCAGAAAGCCACGGCUAACUACGUGCCAGCAGCCGCGGUAAUACGUAGGUGGCAAGCGUUGUCCGGAAUUAUUGGGCGUAAAGGGCUCGCAGGCGGUUUCUUAAGUCUGAUGUGAAAGCCCCCGGCUCAACCGGGGAGGGUCAUUGGAAACUGGGGAACUUGAGUGCAGAAGAGGAGAGUGGAAUUCCACGUGUAGCGGUGAAAUGCGUAGAGAUGUGGAGGAACACCAGUGGCGAAGGCGACUCUCUGGUCUGUAACUGACGCUGAGGAGCGAAAGCGUGGGGAGCGAACAGGAU
rnacentral:rRNA from 1 species